AGGAACACAUCGGAAUCUACCCUGUCGUGGGGGAUAACGUAGGGAAACUUACGCUAAUACCGCAUACGACCCAUGGGUGAAAGCGGCGGACCGCAAGGCGUCGCGCGACUGGAUGAGCCGAUGUCCGAUUAGCUAGUUGGCGGGGUAAUGGCCCACCAAGGCGACGAUCGGUAGCUGGUCUGAGAGGAUGAUCAGCCACACUGGAACUGAGACACGGUCCAG
rnacentral:rRNA from 1 species